UUUUAUAUAUAAAAAAUAACUUAAAAUGACCAUUUGGCCAUAUUUUCCCCCAAAAGAAUGGGCGCACACUUAUUCUUUCUUCUUUUUCCUCUUCCUCUUCGUCCUCCUCUUCAUCUUCCAUUUCCCUGUUUCUUCUUCAAAUUCCAAGAUACCACAAACCUGAAUUGUUUUGAGCAAGAAAUAGUGGAAACAUUGAGAUUGUUUCAUAUAUCAAAUUUGAAACCGUUCGAAGGAGAUCUUGAAUUUAUCAUAAUUAAAUGAUUAGUGUAUAUUUUAUUGGGAAAAUUAUAUGGAAUGACAAACAUUCCUAAGUAAUUAUAUAAUAGGGGUAUAGUUUAAUUUAUUUACUUUCUAUAAUUAUAGUUUAUUUUUUUGCUAUAAUUAAUGGGGUCCACCACCUAUUAUAUAACCAAUAGUAUAAAAACCUUUUUUUUUUAAUCUUGUAUAUAAUUUUACACAAAAUAAUAUUAUCUCUCCUAUUCAUAUUCCACUUUUUUCUCCUACAAUUAAUACUUCUAUUCGAUUUGAAUUUCAAAUUGUCCAAAAUUCAAUUACUCCCUCCCAAAGUUGAAUUCAAUUUUCGUCCUAAAUUUUAGUUGUUUUCCUUUUUUUUUCCUUAUUCAACAAUUGUAUAUGUAUUGUGUUUCUUAUGUUUUUUCAUAUUUUUUUGAUGAAAUAAUCGAUUGUUUGUUCUUAUUAGAUCUCAAAUUAGUCACAGAAUGAAUGAAUCAUCUUCAUCUAUGAGGAUUAUCACAGGGUCUAUGGUAAAAUCAAAACAAGUUCAACAUGAACAAACAAUGGAAGAAUUGAGAUCAAA